CAGCAGCCGCGGUAAGACAGAGGAUGCAAGCGUUAUCCGGAAUGAUUGGGCGUAAAGCGUCUGUAGGUGGCUUUUCAAGUCCGCCGUCAAAUCCCAGGGCUCAACCCUGGACAGGCGGUGGAAACUACCAAGCUAGAGUACGGUAGGGGGCAGAGGGAAUUUCCGGUGGAGCGGUGAAAUGCGUUGAGAUUGGAAAGAACACCAACGGCGAGAGCACUCUGUUGGGCCAACACUGACACCGAGAGACGAAAGCUAAGGGAGCAAAUGGGAUUAGAUACCCCAGUAGUCCCUGUCUCUUAUA
rnacentral:rRNA from 1 species